rnacentral:rRNA from 1 species
UACGGAGGGUGCAAGCGUUAUCCGGAUUCACUGGGUUUAAAGGGUGCGUAGGUGGGUUUGUAAGUCAGUGGUGAAAUCUCCGGGCUUAACCUGGAAACUGCCAUUGAUACUAUAGAUCUUGAAUUUUCUGGAGGUAAGCGGAAUAUGUCAUGUAGCGGUGAAAUGCUUAGAUAUGACAUAGAACACCAAUUGCGAAGGCAGCUUGCUACAGGAACAUUGACACUGAGGCACGAAAAGCGUGGGGAUCAAACAGG